ACGGAAGGCAGCAGUGGGGAAUAUUGCACAAUGGGGGAAACCCUGAUGCAGCGACGCCGCGUGAAGGAAGAAGUAUCUCGGUAUGUAAACUUCUAUCAGCAGGGAAGAUAAUGACGGUACCUGACUAAGAAGCCCCGGCUAACUACGUGCCAGCAGCCGCGGUAAUACGGAGGAUGCAGGCGUUAUCCGGAUUUAUUAGGUUUAAAGGGUGCGCAGGCGGGACAUUAAGUCGGCGGUGAAAUACCGUGGCCCAACCACGGGGCUGCCGUCGAUACUGAUGACCUAGAGUGCGUGUGACGUAGACGGAAUGUGACGUGUAGCGGUGAAAUGCUUAGAUAUGUCACAGAACACCGAUUGCGAAGGCAGCCUACGAAUGCGUAACUGACGCUCAUGCACGAAAGCGCGGGUAGCGAACAGGAUUAGAUACCCUGGUA
rnacentral:rRNA from 1 species